AACACAUGCAAGUCGAGGGGCAGCAUUUUAGUUUGCUUGCAAACUGAAGAUGGCGACCGGCGCACGGGUGAGUAACACGUAUCCAACCUGCCGAUAACUCCGGGAUAGCCUUUCGAAAGAAAGAUUAAUACCGGAUAGCAUACGAAUAUCGCAUGAUAUUUUUAUUAAAGAAUUUCGGUUAUCGAUGGGGAUGCGUUCCAUUAGUUUGUUGGCGGGGUAACGGCCCACCAAGACUACGAUGGAUAGGGGUUCUGAGAGGAAGGUCCCCCACAUUGGAACUGAGACACGGUCCAAACUCCUACGGGAGGCAGCAGUGAGGAAUAUUGGUCAAUGGGCGAGAGCCUGAACCAGCCAAGUAGCGUGAAGGAUGAAGGCUCUAUGGGUCGUAAACUUCUUUUAUAUGGGAAUAAAGUUUUCCACGUGUGGAAUUUUGUAUGUACCAUAUGAAUAAGGAUCGGCUAACUCCGUGCCAGCAGCCGCGGUAAUACGGAGGAUCCGAGCGUUAUCCGGAUUUAUUGGGUUUAAAGGGAGCGUAGGUGGAUUGUUAAGUCAGUUGUGAAAGUUUGCGGCUCAACCGUAAAAUUGCAGUUGAAACUGGCAGUCUUGAGUACAGUAGAGGUGGGCGGAAUUCGUGGUGUAGCGGUGAAAUGCUUAGAUAUCACGAAGAACUCCGAUUGCGAAGGCAGCUCACUAGACUGUCACUGACACUGAUGCUCGAAAGUGUGGGUAUCAAACAGGAUUAGAUACCCUGGUAGUCCACACAGUAAACGAUGAAUACUCGCUGUUUGCGAUAUACAGUAAGCGGCCAAGCGAAAGCAUUAAGUAUUCCACCUGGGGAGUACGCCGGCAACGGUGAAACUCAAAGGAAUUGACGGGGGCCCGCACAAGCGGAGGAACAUGUGGUUUAAUUCGAUGAUACGCGAGGAACCUUACCCGGGCUUAAAUUGCAACAGAAUAUAUUGGAAACAGUAUAGCCGUAAGGCUGUUGUGAAGGUGCUGCAUGGUUGUCGUCAGCUCGUGCCGUGAGGUGUCGGCUUAAGUGCCAUAACGAGCGCAACCCUUAUCUUUAGUUACUAACAGGUUAUGCUGAGGACUCUAGAGAGACUGCCGUCGUAAGAUGUGAGGAAGGUGGGGAUGACGUCAAAUCAGCACGGCCCUUACGUCCGGGGCUACACACGUGUUACAAUGGGGGGUACAGAAGGCGGCUACCUGGUGACAGGAUGCUAAUCCCAAAAACCUCUCUCAGUUCGGAUCGAAGUCUGCAACCCGACUUCGUGAAGCUGGAUUCGCUAGUAAUCGCGCAUCAGCCAUGGCGCGGUGAAUACGUUCCCGGGCCUUGUACACACCGCCCGUCAAGCCAUGAAAGCCGGGGGUACCUGAAGUACGUAACCGCAAGGAGCGUCCUAGGGUAAAACUGGUAAUUGGGGCUAAGUCGU
rnacentral:rRNA from 1 species